UCCAGACCACACUGUCACUGCCACAAGAUCCCAGGCCAGGCCCUGGCACAGCUCCCUGCCCAGCCAUAUGCCCUGCCAGUGCUGGUCUUCAUGGAAACCUUGGCCACUGGCCAGAUCCACCAUUUUGCCCACCCCUGUCCUAAAGCAUAGGCUCCACAUGAAGCUCCUCCAUAACAGAUACUACUUGGUUCUUCAGUGACACUAUUUUUGCACGUUAACAAUGACAUGCAGUGGAGUGCUUUGGAUCUUCUAUUGAAGUAUUAACUACUCAGUUCCAAGGAAGCAAUUCUUGGGAAUCAGAUAUAUUCAGGUAUAUCUAUCUAUCUAUCUAUCUAUCUAUCUAUCUAUCUAUCUAGCUAUCUAUCUACAGAUAGAUAGCUAGAUAGAUAGAUAGAUAGAUAGAUUCUCAAAAAUGUCCCUUGGAAAGGUCCCAGUUACUGAAAGAUGGGCAUAUGGUUUAAUUUAUACACUGAUCAGCUCCAGCUCACUGUCUGCCACCCAAGAACCAACAAAGAGAACCAGUUCUCUGGUUCACUACUGACUUCUCUGAGUUCAUUUACACCAAAAGAAAAUUUGGCCUAAGGCUUCUAAGAAAUAUACCUGGCUCCAUCAGGUACACAAAGCUUAGUGAUAAUUUUCAGUAGGCUCAGUGUAUCUGGCAGGGUACAGAUACACUGAGGUUAGAAGUCAUCCAUGAAAAUGCUCUUUUGGAAUAUUUAUUGUAUCCUCAGUGACAAGGACAGGAUCUUCAGACUGUAGUUUUAAAUGACCCUAAUCAUCAUAGAACUCAUACUCUUUGCCAGGUAACACUUUUCCACAAUCUAAAAAGACUGAACUACAAAGCUUUACCUUAUAUUCAACCCUGAUUUCCCUUUGCUUAAUUUCAUAUUUCCCCCACUGACAUCCUCACAUGCUGAUCUAAUAUUUCCCCCCUUCAAGUAUUAAUAGGUAAUUAUCAUAAUCUUUUUUUACCCCAAGCACCUCUUGACUUUGCCAAGUUAUUUCAUUCAUCUACUGCUCCUCCUAAAUCAUUCCCUUCCCAAUCAUUUCUGUAGCUCUUUUUUAAUGCCCUUAGCUUGUGCUACUGAGGUUCGCAAAGCUAUACACAGUAUUCUAGAUCCAUGUGCACCUGCCGAGGGUACAUACAGAAAGCAGACUACAUGCCAACCUUAGCCAGGACGCCUCCACCUGCAGCACAAAAAUCUCCACUAGACACCCAGGCAGAUCACCUCAUUUAAAAAUUCUCAAUAUUUUACUAUUUUCUUUGUGAAAGUUGAAGGGGAGAGGGUUAGAAAGGAGGGUCAUGGUGUGGCAGAAGAGGCUGGGCUUUGGUCACAGCACUGAAGAUUCCCCAGCUUAAGAUAGCCUGAGAGAGUGACUGAGCUCUAAUUAAGCAUCAGUUUUGAAACCUUAAUGCCAACAUCUGAUGGUAGAGUAGUUAGGCAUCUUGCUACAGUCCCCAGGGUAUGAGUUUAAGUCUUUUUCUGGCUUUGUGUCAAAGGCUGUCUCCAGGUGUAACUGAAUGUCUGGUCUCCAAGGCUAGAGAGUCAGAAGCAGCUAGAUGGGAUGCUAGUUACAUUGCUCUCUUGUGUGUUGUUAGCUAUUGAGACUGAUGACUUAAGUGCAAUGGGCUCACCCAGACCUUCAGCUUUCAAGGUCUCAGUAGAGCUCUCUCACCUGCAGGAAUGAACCGUCUCCGUUUUAAUAACCUGUUAUCCUUUUAUUAUCCCACCCCUGACAGCAGCUCCAUGAUCUCUCUAUCACAAGACAGCCAGGAGCACUAUCCAGCAAUUGUGUAUUUCUGCUCAAAAGGACCUUGGGAACAUCCUGGCAAAGACAACAAAUUAUUCUCUCACCCAUGGAGAAAGAUCAUCCUCCAAAGGAGAGAGCAGGACUAUCAGGUGAAAACUCCUUUGUCAGGGAAAACAAAGAAAGAACUACUAUUUCAGUCUAGGAGCAGGUAACCUGUCUAGAUCAGGGCUGCAGACCACAAAGGACCAGUGCAGAGAAACCUGGUGGUCUGAGGAGAAAAAAGAUGGAAUUAAUUCUCCGGUCAGAAGACAGGGUGCCCUUCAAGUCGUCUGUGGGCACCAAUGCGGGCAAAUCCUUUUGGAAUUCAAAGCAGGUCAGAAGUGAGCCUAACCAACAAGUUGUAUCACUUUCUCAGACUAGAGAUGGGUACUCACUACAUCAGAGAGGAUCACCGCAGCCUUCAGGAAGUGUCUGCUCUUUGCGGUGAUGAUUGUUUUCCUGCUCGCAGGAAUGGGGUCACUGAAGACCAUGCAAAAAAAUUACCCUUGCCCAUGCACCCACCCUGUCUGCCAAGCCUUGCUUGGAAUAAACAAGGACAGUUUUGGUGCAUGACCACACCGCUCCUUCCUGUCUCCAGGGCACUGAGGCUCAACUCCAGGCCACAGCUGAGUAAAUAAUGUUCACUGCCGUACUAUGAGGGAAGAAAGAGAAGAUGGAAGGUACCCGUCAGAAUGAGUGAAAACUGGAAUCCACAAGUGCCACUUUGGCUGCUACCACAAAUUACUGUAUCUAGAGUUCCAGGAACAAAUGAACUACAUCACAGAGAUUUCGCCCUGACCCCAUAACACAGGGAAGUCAUCCGUGUGCACUCUACCAUAUCCCCCAAACUGAAACAGCUUCUGAAGUCCCAAGUGCUCAGGCACAGACCAAGAGAUAUUAAAGCUUGAGUGCUCACCAUAAACAUUAACAAUUGAACUUAAUAACACUUUGCCCUGCUACCAAAGAGUGACUAAUCAAAGCACCUCAGAGUGAUUUGAAAUAGUAAUUCAUUCUCAUAACACACUGAGAAGUAGAUGAAAGAGUUAUCCGCAUUAGGUUCAGAGAAAUAAGAGGCUUGGCUAAGGUCACAGAGGAAGACCAUGGAACAAUAUGAAAAGCACCUUGGUUUUCUACUUUGUCAGGCUCCUUCCCUAAGCAUUUGAUCACAUUUCCUAUCCUCCAAUAUCUGUCCAGUCCUGAAUGCCAGAUGUCAUAAUUCCACAGAGAUAUCUACUUGUUUUCCAUCUGAUCCAACCUACCUGACAUGGUUUCAUUAUCUACAGUGCAUGAACUGCACUUUUCUUCACAUCUCAGAUAUUCUGACAUGAAGUAAAUGUUUGCCUGGAUAGUACAGUCCUGGAAAAAAUAGGCCAGCUUGUGGCCAAAUGUACCAUCUUCACAGCUGGAAAGUAAAAAGGCUGUAGCAAAUUUCUAAUCCUUCCCUGGAUUCUGGCUAAGAAGCUUCUACUUCUUACCACAUGUCCUUCCUGCUGCAUGUGCCUGACAGACCACAUGUGCUCCCUGGUUACUUCACUGAUGUGUGCCCUAUGAAUGACAAUGGGGAGCAGCGGAUCUGGAGGGGUGCACUUGCACCCCUCUUUGAUUCCUGGUCCCUCAAAAGUUUAAAGCCAACUGCCUUGCAACAGCAGCAGAACUUCUAUCCAUGCAGCAGUGACAGAGUCAAUUGACUUCAUGGCUCAUUAUAAUUUACUUGAUUCCUUCUAAACUCUUAAUUCAACAAGUGUUUAUGACUCUCUUUUCCUUUAAAUGAUACGCAGCAAGAGGCAUGGGCAGGCUCAUCUGGAUGCACCCUAAGAGGGUGCCCAAACUUUUCUAACAGGACCUUUUGGGCUGCUCCUGAUGUGCCUAAAACACAGCUCACUGGGUAUAUCUAUGCCUGCUAUUAAUAUGCAACAAUAAACUACAAAGCUUAUUGCUUCGCAGUUUAUUGCUACCAGGAAGCUCCUGGGCACACCUUACACAUGCACCUGGACUGUGGCACAUUGAGCUAGGGCACAGCAGCCUUGGCUGGUAGGGGGCCCAGGGAGUCAGCCUGCCAGCCCAAGGCUGCUUUGACCAGGCUCAAUGCAUUGUGGAGGGGCUGGCUGAGGCAUGAGGGUGCUUCUGUGCAGGGUUAGCCAGCAGACAGCCCCCACACUGAAGCACCCUCAUGCCCUAGCCAACUAAGUUGGUGCCUACACAUGCACUGCUGUGCAUGAAAAAACACCACAGCAGAGUAGCACUUGUAUUUACUUGUACUACCCUGCUGAGUUUAUUAGUUUCCUGCACCCUAAUAGGGUCACACAUGUAGAUGCUGAGACAUUUACUGCACAGUUAAUUAGACAACUAUAAAUGUCUCAUGUAGACAUGUCCAUUAUGUCCUGCUUUACUUUUAAUACUGAAUAGCAGCCCAGCCCAGGGAGGAUGGAGAAGUACAGCAGGGACAAAAUAUUUCUGCAGGCUCUAUUUAUGUACUAUAGAGUCAGUAUUGUUAACCCAAAUAUUCAAGGGUCAUGAGACUGUUUUAAAUAUAGCAAGAUAGUAAAAAAAUAAUAAUUUGGGGUGUUCUUUGCUUGGCUGACUUUGUGAGCGUGUUUUAUAAGGUCUUUUAUAAUCAGUUGCCUCAAGGAGCUAGUGUUUUAGGAAAAAUGUCAAAUAUCACAACUGAAUAAGAAGAACGCACAAUACCACCAACUGUGUAUGUUUUUGCCCAUGGGAUACACUUUGGGCUCACCUAGUUCACAUGAAGGCAACAGUUUGGCCUCCCAGGCAAACAUUAAGAAUAAAAGCAAUCUGAACAAUGGAUAUUCUAGAAAAAGAGUCCAUGCCUCAAACUUAAACACUGAUUUUAAAAUGUUUAAAUGUAAAAAAAAGUUUAUGAAUAGUUUUCUCUUCCACUUUAUUAUUUAUAAAAUUUUGCCCUGAAAGAUUUAAUGAACCAGCAGCGGAAAAGCCUGUCUUUGUUAGAUGGGGGGUUGUUUAAAUAAGAACUCUGAAGAAAACAAAAACAUUAAAGAGUUAUUUCUUUGACUAAUUUGCUUUUUCCACUGACAAGAACAGCUAUAAAAUAAAUAGAAACCAGAGCCAGAAUGUGCAUUUGUCUUACUUUAAAAUUUUAUUUUCUUCAUUUUUCCAAACAAAAACAAACCAGCAGCUCACACAAUUAUUUCCACCAUUACGAAUGGCAAUUACAUAAAGACAUGCUAAAAAUAGUUGUCCUUUAAAGUGUGUAUGAGCAUGUAUGCACACACACGCAUGCAUCCACACACUUGGAAACACUCUGCACUUGGUGCAUUUGUGGAAUUCCCAAAAUGGCUGGAAAACAAACCUAAGAGUCUAGGAAAAUCAGGAAGGGAGAAGUAAAGAGUAACUCUGGCUACUUUUUGCAGUGGCUCAUGAAAACAAGACAUUAGCUACCCAAGACUGUUUUCUGCUACAUUAGUUCAAAAUAGUUUUGUAUUUUAAAACAGGGUUUCUUAGGUACAUCAGUCAGAUUGGGUAAAAAUCAGCCCUGUGCCAAGGUCUAGUGUAAAAUUCUGUGCCACACAUGGAGCCUUUGUUUUACAUGGACUUAAAGUGCUGGCCAUUCAGAGGCAAAUUUCAUCCAUUAAAAUGAUUAAAGUGGCUGAAACAUUUAGUUUUAACAACAAGAUGCCUUUUUAUCUAUACUUUCUUAAGGCUCCUCAUUCUUCAAACCUGAGAAGAACAUUAGCCACAGUCAUAUCUCAGCUGGCUGCUGUAAAAGGUAAAGGAUUCUUCACUUGUGGCUUGUUAGUUGCCAUGUGAUGGGACCUGAUAGAAGGCACCUGGCUACAAUGAAGCUGUAGAUGGAAGCUAUGAAAGGCAAAUUAAGAUGUCAGAGAAAGCAUCAGGGAUCUGGUAAGAAUUACUUGGAGAGGCUUCUUUGAGGUUAAAGAGAGUAAUAGCAGGAGUUACUACAGAAGGAAGCUGCUAUAUGAGGCUACUUGAGAGUAAGAGAGUUGAAAAGAAUUGUUGGAAAAAUGCUGAGACUGAGAAUUAUUGGAGAAAAUAGUUAAAGGUUGCAGCGCCGUCGAGCCAGCAGUUAAGGAUUACCAAAUACUAGAUCAUGCUUCACCCUGAUGGCUGAAGACUGCAAGCAACAACCCUCCUGAAGAUUGCAGACUACAAAGCCAGAAGAUCGUGUCCUACCAAUCCCAGCCUGCCAACAGGACAAGGAGGAUGACCUUCACAUCUGACUCAGCUGUCCAUACAAGCCUAUGGAUUCCGCUAUCACUAUAAAGACUGAAGAAGGAGUUUUGGGCACAUCCAAUAAGACCUGACGCCAUUCCUUGUGGUCAGUCUGGCUGGCCACCAGACUGAUCUGAGCAACUUUAAAACUUGGUAACACCUUAACCUUUGCAGAACUGUCUAUCUGUGUGUGUAUGCUUGUUUCUUUUGUAAGAAUGAAUGAAUGAAUGAGUAUGCAUGGGAAUGAGUGAAGCAAAUAACCUUUUCACACUUCUGCAUGUUGAUAUAUUCAGACAUUUGGAUAAAAAAAGCUAUGGCUCUU